rnacentral:snRNA from 1 species
AGGUGUGAGGGUGAUCUAGGUUUCUGUCAUUUAUUGAUCCAAGGUUGAUUCAGUUGAUCUGCCUGUGCAGGUAGGUGGUCCAUUCCUCUGUCACUUGUCUCUCUGGUCCCUCCUCAAGACCUUCCUGACACAGGAGAGAGGAAGACUGCUUUUUGGUCAGGGCUAUAUGAGUAGUUGUACUCACUACUAGAACCUCCAUAACAAGUUGCCAGGGACCAUGCUUUGGGAACAGUGGACAGCCUUGUGUUCUCACCACUUAGCCAUGGGAUUGCUGU